rnacentral:rRNA from 1 species
UUGAUCCUGGCUCAGAACGAACGCUGGCGGCAGGCUUAACACAUGCAAGUCGAGCGCGUAGCAAUGCGAGCGGCAGACGGGUGAGUAACGCGUGGGAAUCUACCCAUCUCUACGGAACAACUCCGGGAAACUGGAGCUAAUACCGUAUACGUCCUUCGGGAGAAAGAUUUAUCGGAGAUGGAUGAGCCCGCGUUGGAUUAGCUAGUUGGUGGGGUAAUGGCCUACCAAGGCGACGAUCCAUAGCUGGUCUGAGAGGA